AUUGAACGCUGGCGGCAUGCUUUACACAUGCAAGUCGAACGGCAGCACGGGGGCAACCCUGGUGGCGAGUGGCGAACGGGUGAGUAAUACAUCGGAACGUGCCCGGUCGUGGGGGAUAACGUAGCGAAAGUUACGCUAAUACCGCAUACGAUCUGAGGAUGAAAGCGGGGGACCUUCGGGCCUCGCGCGCUCGGAGCGGCCGAUGUCAGAUUAGGUAGUUGGUGGGGUAAAGGCCUACCAAGCCGACGAUCUGUAGCUGGUCUGAGAGGACGACCAGCCACACUGGGACUGAGACACGGCCCAGACUCCUACGGGAGGCAGCAGUGGGGAAUUUUGGACAAUGGGCGCAAGCCUGAUCCAGCCAUUCCGCGUGCAGGACGAAGGCCUUCGGGUUGUAAAAUGCUUUUGUAUGGAACGAAAAGGCUCUGGCUAAUACCUGGGGCUCAUGACGGUACCGAAAGAAUAAGCACCGGCUAACUACGUG
rnacentral:rRNA from 1 species